rnacentral:rRNA from 1 species
UGAGUGCGAGCUGCUACGGCAGCGAAGUUGGUGACGUCAAGCUUCCAAGAAAAGCCCUAUACCCGUUAAGGCAUCAUGGCCUGUACCCGAAACCGACACAGGUGGGGUGGUAGAGAAUACCGAGGGGCGCGAGGUAACUCUCUCUAAGGAACUCGGCAAAAUGGCCCCGUAACUUCGGGAGAAGGGGUGCCACCGCAAGGUGGUCGCAGUGAAGAGGCCCAGGCGACUGUUUACCAAAAACACAGGUCUCCGCUAAGUCGCAAGACGAUGUAUGGGGGCUGACGCCUGCCCAGUGCCGGAAGGUUAAGGAAGCUGGUCAGCGCAAGCGAAGCUAGCGACUGAAGCCCCGGUGAACGGCGGCCGUAACGAUAACGGUCCUAAGGUAGCGAAAUUCCUUGUCGGGUAAGUUCCGACCCGCACGAAAGGCGUAACGAUCUGGGCGCUGUCUCGGAGAGAGGCUCGGCGAAAUAGAAUUGUCUGUGAAGAUGCGGACUACGUGCACCCGGACAGAAAGACCCUAUGAAGCUUUACUGUAGCUUGGUAUUGUGCCCGGGCUCUGAAUGCGCAGGAUAGGUGGGAGGCUUUGAUCAUCGGCUUGCGGGUCGAUGUGAGCCAACGGUGAGAUACCACUCUUUCAGAGCUAGGGUUCUAACAGUCACCCGUUAUCCGGGGACUGGACAGUAUCAGGUGGGCAGUUUGACUGGGGCGGUCGCCUCCUAAAAGGUAACGGAGGCGCGCAAAGGUCUGCUCAGGCUGGUUGGAAAUCAGCCGACGAGUGUAAAAGCAGAAGCAGGCUUGACUGUGAGACCUACAAGUCGAACAGGGAGGAAACUCGGCUUUAGUGAUCCGACGGUUCUGCGUGGAAGGGCCGUCGCUCAACGGAUAAAAGUUACUCUAAGGAUAACAGGCUGAUCUCCCCCAAGAGUUCACAUCGACGGGGAGGUUUGGCACCUUGAUGUCGGCUCAUCGCAACCUGGGGCUGAAGUCGGUCCCAAGGGUUGGGCUGUUCGCCCAUUAAAGCGGUACGCGAGCUGGGUUCAGAACGUCGUGAGACAGUUCGGUCCAUAUCCGGUGCAUGCGCAGGAAUAUUGAGAGGAGUUCUCCCUAGUACGAGAGGACCGGGAGGAACGCACCUCUGGUGUACCAGUUAUCGUGCCAACGGUAAACGCUGGGUAGCCAUGUGCGGAGAGGAUAACCGCUGAAAGCAUCUAAGUGGGAAGCCCACCUCAAGAUGAGUAUUCCCAUGGCGUUAGCCAGUAAGGUCACGGGAAGAACAUCCGUUGAUAGGCUCUAUGUGGAAGCGCAGUAAUGCGUGAAGCAGAGGAGUACUAAUAGACCGAGGGCUUGACCUA